rnacentral:tRNA from 1 species
UAGCUUAGUUGGUAAAGCGCUCGUUAGCAUACAAGAGUCCUGGGUUCAAAUCCCAG